rnacentral:rRNA from 1 species
UGUAACGGGGCUAAACCAUGCACCGAAGCUGCGGCAGCGAACGUAUCACCCAAGACAACUUUACGGAGUUGACGAUUGACGGAGCGAAGCGACGUCAAAGCGUUCAUUAAAGUCGAGUUGGCUUAGGGAUACGUUCGUUGGGUAGGGGAGCGUUCUGUAAGCCUGUGAAGGUGUGUCGUGAGGCAUGCUGGAGGUAUCAGAAGUGCGAAUGCUGACAUAAGUAACGAUAAAGCGGGUGAAAAGCCCGCUCGCCGGAAGACCAAGGGUUCCUGUCCAACGUUAAUCGGGGCAGGGUGAGUCGACCCCUAAGGCGAGGCCGAAAGGCGUAGUCGAUGGGAAACGGGUUAAUAUUCCCGUACUUGGUGUUACUGCGAAGGGGGGACGGAGAAGGCUAUGUUGGCCGGGCGACGGUUGUCCCGGUUUAAGCGUGUAGGUGUGUGUUCCAGGUAAAUCCGGUUCACUUUAACACUGAGGCGUGACGACGAGGCACUACGGUGCUGAAGCAACAAAUGCCCUGCUUCCAGGAAAAGCCUCUAAGCAUCAGGUAACAUCAAAUCGUACCCCAAACCGACACAGGUGGUCAGGUAGAGAAUACCAAGGCGCUUGAGAGAACUCGGGUGAAGGAACUAGGCAAAAUGGUGCCGUAACUUCGGGAGAAGGCACGCUGACACGUAGGUGAAGUGAUUUACUCAUGGAGCUGAAGUCAGUCGAAGAUACCAGCUGGCUGCAACUGUUUAUUAAAAACACAGCACUGUGCAAACACGAAAGUGGACGUAUACGGUGUGACGCCUGCCCGGUGCCGGAAGGUUAAUUGAUGGGGUCAGCGCAAGCGAAGCUCCUGAUCGAAGCCCCGGUAAACGGCGGCCGUAACUAUAACGGUCCUAAGGUAGCGAAAUUCCUUGUCGGGUAAGUUCCGACCUGCACGAAUGGCGUAAUGAUGGCCAGGCUGUCUCCACCCGAGACUCAGUGAAAUUGAACUCGCUGUGAAGAUGCAGUGUACCCGCGGCAAGACGGAAAGACCCCGUGAACCUUUACUAUAGCUUGACACUGAACAUUGAGCCUUGAUGUGUAGGAUAGGUGGGAGGCUUUGAAGUGUGGACGCCAGUCUGCAUGGAGCCGACCUUGAAAUACCACCCUUUAAUGUUUGAUGUUCUAACGUGGACCCGUAAUCCGGGUUGCGGACAGUGUCUGGUGGGUAGUUUGACUGGGGCGGUCUCCUCCUAAAGAGUAACGGAGGAGCACGAAGGUUGGCUAAUCCUGGUCGGACAUCAGGAGGUUAGUGCAAUGGCAUAAGCCAGCUUGACUGCGAGCGUGACGGCGCGAGCAGGUGCGAAAGCAGGUCAUAGUGAUCCGGUGGUUCUGAAUGGAAGGGCCAUCGCUCAACGGAUAAAAGGUACUCCGGGGAUAACAGGCUGAUACCGCCCAAGAGUUCAUAUCGACGGCGGUGUUUGGCACCUCGAUGUCGGCUCAUCACAUCCUGGGGCUGAAGUAGGUCCCAAGGGUAUGGCUGUUCGCCAUUUAAAGUGGUACGCGAGCUGGGUUUAGAACGUCGUGAGACAGUUCGGUCCCUAUCUGCCGUGGGCGCUGGAGAACUGAGGGGGGCUGCUCCUAGUACGAGAGGACCGGAGUGGACGCAUCACUGGUGUUCGGGUUGUCAUGCCAAUGGCACUGCCCGGUAGCUAAAUGCGGAAGAGAUAAGUGCUGAAAGCAUCUAAGCACGAAACUUGCCCCGA